GAUGAACGCUGGCGGCGUGCUUAACACAUGCAAGUCGAACGGAAAGGCCCAAGCUUGCUUGGGUACUCGAGUGGCGAACGGGUGAGUAACACGUGGGGGAUCUGCCCUGCACUUCGGGAUAAGCCUGGGAAACUGGGUCUAAUACCGGAUAGGACGAUGGCUUGGAUGCCAUUGUGGAAAGUUUGUUCGGUGUGGGAUGAGCUCGCGGCCUAUCAGCUUGUUGGUGGGGUAAUGGCCUACCAAGGCGUCGACGGGUAGCCGGCCUGAGAGGGUGUACGGCCACAUUGGGGCUGCGGUACGGCCCAGACUCCUGCGGGAGGCAGCCGUGGGGAAUAUUGCACCCUGGGCGCCCGCCUGAUGCAGCGACGCCGCGUGGGGGGUGACGGCCUUCGGGUUGUAAACUCCUCUCGCUAGGGCCGCAGCGUUUUUGUGACGGUACCUGGAGAAGACGCACCGGCUAACUACGUG
rnacentral:rRNA from 1 species